UGGGCCUUUCAUGAACCCUUUCAUAGACGUGUGGGAUCCUUCGUUAGUAUGGUCCUAACGCUGCUAUAUUGGCCCAAC
rnacentral:tRNA from 1 species